UACAAAGAGAUAUCAAGAUCUGUAUGGAACCUACGUGGCUAUUACAACCAAGAUUCUGGUGACCAAAAUGGAUGAAGUCAUGCCCCUCAGGAUGGUGAGAUUCUGGAUAACCUUGGAUGCCACGUGUUGAAGCUCUACAGGAAGAAAUUUCUCACCUGGAAGCAAUGAGGAAGAAGGCUGUGUUGGGAGUUGGAAGAGAACAGGUAGGGAGAGCAUGGCAGAGUGGCCUUUGUGAGAAGGAAGCAGAAGAGCCAGCUAGGAGAGAAGGUGAUGUGAAGAGAGAAGCAGAGAUUGGAGGGAGGCAACCAGGAGCCAAAGAAUGUGACAGGCAACCUCUAGAAGUUGGAAGAGGCAAAGAACAGAUUCUUCCCAGGAUCCUCCAGAAAGUACCAGCACUGUGCUCACUUUGACUUUCAGUCCCUGAAGACUCAUUUUUGACUUUUGAUCUUCAGAACUGUAAGAGAAUAAAUGU